UGUUAAGCUACUAAGGGCCUACGGUGGAUGCCUUGGUGCUAGGCGUCGAUGAAGGGCGUGAUAAACUGCGAUAAGCUUUGGGUAGCAGUUCUAUGUGUUGAUCCAGAGAUUCCCGAAUCGGGUAACCGGAUAGACAGUUUAAUGUCUAUCGAUUGCGUUUGAAUGAAUGCAAUCGGUAACUGGGGGAAGUGAAACAUCUCAGUACCCCAAGGAACAGAAAGAAAAAUCGAUUCUCUGAGUAGCGGCGAGCGAAAUGGGAAUAGCCUAAACCAAAUAUGUGUGAUAGUCUGCGCACGUUGCAUAUUUGGUGUUGUGGGAUAUAAUCGGAGUGGCGUGCAGGUCACUCGGGAAGUUACAAAUAAGUUUUCUAGCUUAAGAACUCUGGAAUAGGUUCACCAUAGAAGGUGAUAGUCCUGUGAGCGAAAGAAAAUUUACUUCCUGGAUUUUGUUCCCGAGUACCACGGGAUAGCCAAACCUGUGGGAAUCUAGGAGGACCAUCUCCUAAGGCUAAAUAUGACCUAGCAACCGAUAGUGAAAAAGUACUGUGAAGGAAAGGUGAAAAGUUCCCCGGGAGGGAAGUGAAAUAGAACCUGAAACCGUAAUGGCCUACAAGCUGUGGAAGUGCUAGACCAAGCUUUGCUUGGUAUGCAUGACCGCGUGCCUUUUGCAUAAUGAGCCGGUGACUUACUCUGUGUAGCAAGAUUAAGCUUUUCUGAAGCGUAGUCGUAGUGAAAACGAGUCUGAAUAGGGCGUAUAGUUGCAUGGAGUAGACCCGAAACUGGGUGAUCUAUCCAUGGGCAAGGCGAAGCGUAUGUAAAAAUACGUGAAGGCCUGAACCCACCAAGGCUGAAAACUUGGGGGAUGACCUGUGGAUCGGAGUGAAAGGCUAAUCAAACCCAGUAAUAGCUGGUUCUCCCCGAAAUAGCUUUAGGGCUAGCCUUAUGUGUUCAGCGGUGGAGGUAGAGCUCUAAUUGGACUAGCGGCCCUACCAGGUUAGCAACUCCAGUUAAACUACAAAUGCCAUCGUUCCAAAGCAUAGGAGUCAGUCAGUGGGGGAUAAGCUCCAUUGACGAAAGGGAAACAGCCCGGACCGCCAGCUAAGGUCCCCAAAUACAAGUUAAGUGGCAAAGGAUGUUUUGUUACA
rnacentral:rRNA from 1 species